rnacentral:rRNA from 1 species
UGCAGUCGAACGAUGAAGCCCAGCUUGCUGGGUGGAUUAGUGGCGAACGGGUGAGUAACACGUGAGUAACCUGCCCUUGACUCUGGGAUAAGCCCGGGAAACUGGGUCUAAUACCGGAUAGGAACGUCCACCGCAUGGUGGUUGUUGGAAAGAUUUAUCGGUCAUGGAUGGACUCGCGGCCUAUCAGCUUGUUGGUGAGGUAAUGGCUCACCAAGGCGACGACGGGUAGCCGGCCUGAGAGGGUGACCGGCCACACUGGGACUGAGACACGGCCCAGACUCCUACGGGAGGCAGCAGUGGGGAAUAUUGCACAAUGGGCGAAAGCCUGAUGCAGCGACGCCGCGUGAGGGAUGACGGCCUUCGGGUUGUAAACCUCUUUCAGUAGGGAAGAAGCGAAAGUGACGGUACCUGCAGAAGAAGCACCGGCUAACUACGUGCCAGCAGCCGCGGUAAUACGUAGGGUGCGAGCGUUAUCCGGAAUUAUUGGGCGUAAAGAGCUCGUAGGCGGUUUGUCGCGUCUGUCGUGAAAGUCCGGGGCUUAACCCCGGAUCUGCGGUGGGUACGGGCAGACUAGAGUGCAGUAGGGGAGACUGGAAUUCCUGGUGUAGCGGUGGAAUGCGCAGAUAUCAGGAGGAACACCGAUGGCGAAGGCAGGUCUCUGGGCUGUAACUGACGCUGAGGAGCGAAAGCAUGGGGAGCGAACAGGAUUAGAUACCCUGGUAGUCCAUGCCGUAAACGUUGGGCACUAGGUGUGGGGACCAUUCCACGGUUUCCGCGCCGCAGCUAACGCAUUAAGUGCCCCGCCUGGGGAGUACGGCCGCAAGGCUAAAACUCAAAGGAAUUGACGGGGGCCCGCACAAGCGGCGGAGCAUGCGGAUUAAUUCGAUGCAACGCGAAGAACCUUACCAAGGCUUGACAUGUUCUCGAUCGCCGUAGAGAUAACGGUUUCCCCUUUGGGGCGGGAUCACAGGUGGUGCAUGGUUGUCGUCAGCUCGUGUCGUGAGAUGUUUGGGUUAAGUCCCGCAACGAGCGCAACCCUCGUUUCAUGUUGCCGCACGUAAU